rnacentral:rRNA from 1 species
UACGAAGGGGGCUAGCGUUGCUCGGAAUCACUGGGCGUAAAGGGUGCGUAGGCGGGUCUUUAAGUCAGGGGUGAAAUCCUGGAGCUCAACUCCAGAACUGCCUUUGAUACUGAAGAUCUUGAGUUCGGGAGAGGUGAGUGGAACUGCGAGUGUAGAGGUGAAAUUCGUAGAUAUUCGCAAGAACACCAGUGGCGAAGGCGACACACUGGCCCGUUACUGACGCUGAGGCGCGAAAGCGUGGGGAGCAAACAGG